GUGCCAGCAGCCGCGGUAAUACGUAGGGGGCAAGCGUUGUCCGGAAUUAUUGGGCGUAAAGCGCGCGCAGGCGGCCUUGUAAGUCUGUUGUUUAAACUUGGGGCUCAACCCCAAGUCGCAAUGGAAACUGCAAAGCUUGAGUGCAGAAGAGGAAAGUGGAAUUCCACGUGUAGCGGUGAAAUGCGUAGAGAUGUGGAGGAACACCAGUGGCGAAGGCGACUUUCUGGGCUGUAACUGACGCUGAGGCGCGAAAGCGUGGGGAGCAAACAGGAUUAGAAACCCUCGUAGUCC
rnacentral:rRNA from 1 species